AUUGAACGCUGGCGGCAUGCCUUACACAUGCAAGUCGAACGGCAGCACAGGGCAACCUGGUGGCGAGUGGCGAACGGGUGAGUAAUGCAUCGGAACGUACCUUUCAGUGGGGGAUAACGUAGCGAAAGUUACGCUAAUACCGCAUAUUCUGUGAGCAGGAAAGCAGGGGAUCGCAAGACCUUGCGCUGAUUGAGCGGCCGAUGUCAGAUUAGCUAGUUGGUGAGGUAAGGGCUCACCAAGGCGACGAUCUGUAGCGGGUCUGAGAGGAUGAUCCGCCACACUGGAACUGAGACACGGUCCAGACUCCUACGGGAGGCAGCAGUGGGGAAUUUUGGACAAUGGGGGCAACCCUGAUCCAGCCAUGCCGCGUGAGUGAAGAAGGCCUUCGGGUUGUAAAGCUCUUUCGGCCGGGAAGAAAUCGCACGGGCUAAUACCCUGUGUGGAUGACGGUACCGGAAUAAGAAGCACCGGCUAACUCCGUGCCAGCAGCCGCCGUAA
rnacentral:rRNA from 1 species